rnacentral:rRNA from 1 species
UACGGAGGGUGCAAGCGUUAUCCGGAUUCACUGGGUUUAAAGGGUGCGUAGGUGGGCAGGUAAGUCCGUGGUGAAAUCUCUGAGCUUAACUCAGAAACUGCCGUGGAUACUAUUUGUCUUGAAUAUUGUGGAGGUAAGCGGAAUAUGUCAUGUAGCGGUGAAAUGCUUAGAUAUGACAUAGAACACCAAUUGCGAAGGCAGCUUACUACACAGUUAUUGACGCUGAGGCACGAAAGCGUGGGGAGCAAACGGG